UUAAGCGACUAAGCGUACACGGUGGAUGCCUAGGCAAUCAGAGGCGAUGAAGGACGUGCUAAUCUGCGAUAAGCGUCGGUAAGGUGAUAUGAACCGUGAUAACCGACGAUUUCCGAAUGGGGAAACCCAGUGCAAUCCGUUGCACUAUCGUUUGAUGAAUACAUAGUCAAACGAAGCGAACCGGGGGAACUGAAACAUCUCAGUACCCCGAGGAAAAGAAAUCAACCGAGAUUCCCCUAGUAGCGGCGAGCGAACGGGGAGCAGCCCAGAGUCUUAAUCAACAUUAGCAUCAGGAGAACGGUCUGGAAAGGCCGGCAGUAAAGGGUGAUAGCCCCGUAUCCGAAGGUGUUAGUGUUGUGAACUCGACGAGUAGGGCGGGACACGUGUUAUCCUGUCUGAAUAUGGGGGGGACCAUCCUCCAAGGCUAAAUACUCCUGAUUGACCGAUAGUGAACCAGUACCGUGAGGGAAAGGCGAAAAGAACCCCGGCGAGGGGAGUGAAAUAGAACCUGAAACCGUGUACGUACAAGCAGUGGGAGCACCUUUAGGGGUGUGACUGCGUACCUUUUGUAUAAUGGGUCAGCGACUUAUAUUCUGUAGCAAGGUUAACCGUAUAGGGGAGCCGUAGGGAAACCGAGUCUUAACUGGGCGAAUGAGUUGCAGGGUAUAGACCCGAAACCCGGUGAUCUAGCCAUGGGCAGGUUGAAGGUUGGGUAACACUAACUGGAGGACCGAACCGACUAAUGUUGAAAAAUUAGCGGAUGACUUGUGGCUGGGGGUGAAAGGCCAAUCAAACCGGGAGAUAGCUGGUUCUCCCCGAAAGCUAUUUAGGUAGCGCCUCGUGAACUCAUCUUCGGGGGUAGAGCACUGUUUCGACUAGGGGGUCAUCCCGACUUACCAACUCGAUGCAAACUACGAAUACCGAAGAAUGUUAUCACGGGAGACACACGGCGGGUGCUAACGUUCGUCGUGAAGAGGGAAACAACCCAGACCGCCAGCUAAGGUCCCAAAGUCAUAGUUAAGUGGGAAACGAAGUGGGAAGGCUCAGACAGCCAGGAUGUUGGCUUAGAAGCAGCCAUCAUUUAAAGAAAGCGUAAUAGCUCACUGGUCGAGUCGGCCUGCGCGGAAGAUGUAACGGGGCUAAACUAUGCACCGAAGCUGCGGCAGCGAUAUGUAAAUAUUGUUGGGUAGGGGAGCGUUCUGUAAGCCUGUGAAGGUGUACUGUGAGGUAUGCUGGAGGUAUCAGAAGUGCGAAUGCUGACAUAAGUAACGAUAAUGCGGGUGAAAAACCCGCACGCCGGAAGACCAAGGGUUCCUGUCCAACGUUAAUCGGGGCAGGGUGAGUCGACCCCUAAGGCGAGGCAGAAAUGCGUAGUCGAUGGGAAACGGGUUAAUAUUCCCGUACUGGUGAUAAUUGCGAUGGGGGGACGGAGAAGGCUAGGCUAUCCGGGCGACGGUUGUCCCGGUUUAAGGAUGUAGGCAGGUGAAUUAGGCAAAUCCGGUUCACUACAUGCUGAGGUCCGAUGACGAGUCACUACGGUGAUGAAGUAGCUCAUGCCCCGCUUCCAGGAAAAGCCUCUAAGCUCUAGAUUAUCAUUAAUCGUACCCCAAACCGACACAGGUGGUCAGGUAGAGAAUACUCAGGCGCUUGAGAGAACUCGGGUGAAGGAACUAGGCAAAAUGGUGCCGUAACUUCGGGAGAAGGCACGCUGGCGCUAGGUGAAGUCCCUCGCGGAUGGAGCUGAAGCCAGUCGCAGAUACCAGCUGGCUGCAACUGUUUAUUAAAAACACAGCACUGUGCAAACACGAAAGUGGACGUAUACGGUGUGACGCCUGCCCGGUGCUGGAAGGUUAAUUGAUGGGGUUAUCCGUAAGGAGAAGCUCUUGAUCGAAGCCCCAGUAAACGGCGGCCGUAACUAUAACGGUCCUAAGGUAGCGAAAUUCCUUGUCGGGUAAGUUCCGACCUGCACGAAUGGCGUAAUGAUGGCCAGGCUGUCUCCACCCGAGACUCAGUGAAAUUGAACUCGCUGUGAAGAUGCAGUGUACCCGCGGCAAGACGGAAAGACCCCGUGAACCUUUACUAUAGCUUGACACUGAACAUUGAGCCUUGAUGUGUAGGAUAGGUGGGAGGCUUUGAAGUGUGGACGCCAGUCUGCAUGGAGCCAACCUUGAAAUACCACCCUUUAAUGUUUGAUGUUCUAACGUAGCCCCGUUAUCCGGGGUGCGGACAGUGUCUGGUGGGUAGUUUGACUGGGGCGGUCUCCUCCCAAAGAGUAACGGAGGAGCACGAAGGUUGGCUAAGCAUGGUCGGACAUCAUGCGGUUAGUGCAAAGGCAUAAGCCAGCUUGACUGCGAGAGUGACGGCUCGAGCAGGUACGAAAGUAGGUCUUAGUGAUCCGGUGGUUCUGAAUGGAAGGGCCAUCGCUCAACGGAUAAAAGGUACUCCGGGGAUAACAGGCUGAUACCGCCCAAGAGUUCAUAUCGACGGCGGUGUUUGGCACCUCGAUGUCGGCUCAUCACAUCCUGGGGCUGAAGUAGGUCCCAAGGGUACGGCUGUUCGCCGUUUAAAGUGGUACGCGAGCUGGGUUUAGAACGUCGUGAGACAGUUCGGUCCCUAUCUGCCGUGGGCGUUGGAAGAUUGAAAGGGGCUGCUCCUAGUACGAGAGGACCGGAGUGGACGCACCACUGGUGUUCGGGUUGUCAUGCCAAUGGCAUUGCCCGGUAGCUAAGUGCGGAAGAGAUAACCGCUGAAAGCAUCUAAGCGGGAAACUUGCCUUGAGAUGAGUCUUCCCUGACUCUUUAAGGGUCCUAAAGGAACGUUUAAGACUAAGACGUUGAUAGGUUGGGUGUGUAAGCGUAGCGAUAUGUUGAGCUAACCAAUACUAAUGAACCGUGAGGCUUAACCUG
rnacentral:rRNA from 1 species